UACGUAGGGCGCAAGCGUUGUCCGGAAUUAUUGGGCGUAAAGAGCUCGUAGGCGGUCUGUCGCGUCGGUUGUGAAAACACAAGGCUCAACCUUGUGCCUGCAAUCGAUACGGGCAGACUAGAGUACUGCAGGGGAGACUGGAAUUCCUGGUGUAGCGGUGGAAUGCGCAGAUAUCAGGAGGAACACCGGUGGCGAAGGCGGGUCUCUGGGCCGUUACUGACGCUGAGGAGCGAAAGCGUGGGGAGCGAACAGG
rnacentral:rRNA from 1 species